AAAACAUUCAAGAAGUUGCUUAUUAGUAAAGAAGUUCAUUCUAUCAUCAAAAAAAGCUGGUCCCAGGGAAUAGCUAAGAUAAAAUUUGACAAAAUUCUCAUAUACAGGAAUAUUUUUAACGAAAUAGACUUCUCACCUUUGCUUUGACAGUACUCCUCCGAGUGGCAUUUGUCCUCGUCGCUCGCGUCUCCGCAAUCGUCUUUGCCGUCGCACCUGUGCAAUUCCAAGAUGCACUUUUUAUUUUCGCACCUGAACUCUCCAGCCGAACAGGUGCGGUAGCAGUGGUCAGGUUCGUCCGAUCCGUCGAAACAAUCCUGAAACGUUUCCAAAGGUCUCGGGGUAAAUUUAUAUUCAAAAUCGGAACUGGUGGGUGGUGCAGACGAUCGAACUCGCAUUUUUGCACUCGACCAACGGAUCCUCGUCCUGGCCGUUGUCGCAGUCCCGUUCGCCAUCGCAGACCCACACUUUCGGUAUGCAUCGUCCUGUCGAGUUGCAACUAAGACAAAAAAAAAAUGGAAAAUUCAGUAUAUUGUCUUAUUUAUUUUAUUAAUUAGAAAACCAACAAUAAAAGUCUGAAAACUGU